rnacentral:rRNA from 1 species
GACGAACGCUGGCGGCGUGCUUAACACAUGCAAGUCGAACGGAAAGGUCCUGCGUUUGUGGCGUACUCGAGUGGCGAACGUGAGAGUAACACGUGAGUAACCGGCCCUUCACUUUGGAAUAACUUCUAGUAACGCAUACUACUACCGCAUAGGAGCUCCUGCUGCAUGUUGGGAGUUGGAAAGGGUCGGCGGUUGGGGCUGGACGCUCGGCUUAUCAGCUUGUUGGUGGGGUAGUGGCUUACCAAGGCUUGGACGGGUAGCCGGCCUGAGAGGUUGACGGGCGAGAUUGGGACUGAGAUACGGCCCAGAGUCGUAGGGGAGGCAGCAGUGGGGAAUAUUGCAGAAUGGGCGGAAGCCUGCUGCAGGAACGUCGGGUGCGGGAUGAUGGAAUUCGGGUUGUAAACCGAUGUAGCCUGUGACGCAGCGUGAGUGACGGUAAUGGGUAAAGAAGCACCGGCUAACUACGUG